UACAGAGGGUGCGAGCGUUGUUCGGAAUUACUGGGCGUAAAGCGCGUGUAGGCGGCCGCGUAAGUCGGGCGUGAAAUCCCACGGCUCAACCGUGGAAGUGCACUCGAAACUGCGCAGCUAGAGUCCUGGAGAGGAAGGUGGAAUGCUUGGUGUAGAGGUGAAAUUCGUAGAUAUCAAGCGGAACACCGGUGGCGAAGGCGGCCUUCUGGACAGUGACUGACGCUGAGACGCGAAAGCGUGGGGAGCAAACAGG
rnacentral:rRNA from 1 species